CCCUUAGAUGUCCGGGGCUGCACGCGCGCUACACUGUAGAAAGCAGCGUGCUUUAAAACCUUUCCUGAAAAGGAUGGGUAACCCCAGCAAAAUUCUACGUGCUUGGGAUAGAGAUGUGCAAUUUUCUCUCUUGAACGAGGAAUUCCCAGUAAGUGCGAGUCAUCAGCUCGCGUUGAUUACGUCCCUGCCCUUUGUACACACCGCCCGUCGCUACUACCGAUUGGGAAAAUUUUAGAGAGUCCUGGACUGAUGAUUGUUCGGCUUCACGGCCUUACUUUCGUCGGGAAAGAAUUCGAUAAUAUUUUUCUAGAGGAAGUAAAAGUCGUAACA
rnacentral:rRNA from 1 species